AGGUAGGUCCGAAGCCCUAUUUUUCAUUCAACAACUUGACCGUUCUGACCCUUCUGGGCGUGUUAAAUGGAAAGCGCCAAAUGAUAUCGUUCAACUCAUUGCUGUUACUUGACUGAUUAAAAUAACAUUGCAAAUUCCGGUGCCUGUGCCAAGUUUGGCACCGCAGGCGCUCUAUAUAUUUUGCCCGUGAAUUGCUUAGUUUGUCAGUUUGUAAGUUU